UACGGGGGGGGCAAGCGUUGUUCGGAAUUACUGGGCGUAAAGGGCUCGUAGGCGGCCAACUAAGUCAGACGUGAAAUCCCUCGGCUUAACCGGGGAACUGCGUCUGAUACUGGAUGGCUUGAGUUUGGGAGAGGGAUGCGGAAUUCCAGGUGUAGCGGUGAAAUGCGUAGAUAUCGUAAGGAAGACCAGUGGCGAAGGCGGGUCUCUGGACAGUUCCUGACACUGAGGCACGAAGGCCAGGGGAGCAAACGGG
rnacentral:rRNA from 1 species